rnacentral:rRNA from 1 species
GAUGAACGCUAGCGGCAGGCCUAAUACAUGCAAGUCGAACGAUGCUUGUUAGCAAUAACAAGUGUAGUGGCGCACGGGUGCGUAACGCGUAUGCAACCUACCUUAGACAGGGGAAUAGCCCGGGGAAACUCGGAUUAACACCGCAUAAUAUAUUUGAAUGGCAUCAUUUAGAUAUUAAAUUUACGGAGGUCAAAGAUGGGCAUGCGUCUGAUUAGCUAGNGGUGAGGUAACGGCUCACCAAGGCGACGAUCAGUAGGGGACC